UACAGAGGGUGCGAGCGUUAAUCGGAAUUACUGGGCGUAAAGCGCGCGUAGGCGGCUUUGCAAGUCGGGUGUGAAAUCCCCAGGCUUAACCUGGGAACUGCAUUCGAGACUGCAUUGCUAGAGUAUGGGAGAGGGAAGUGGAAUUUCAGGUGUAGCGGUGAAAUGCGUAGAUAUCUGAAGAACAUCAGUGGCGAAAGCGACUUCCUGGACCAAUACUGACG
rnacentral:rRNA from 1 species